rnacentral:rRNA from 1 species
UGGGGAAUAUUGGACAAUGGGCGGAAGCCUGAUCCAGCAACGCCGCGUGAGGGAUGACGGCCUUCGGGUUGUAAACCUCUUUUCAGUACCGACGAAGCGAAAGUGACGGUAGGUACAGAAGAAGGACCGGCCAACUACGUGCCAGCAGCCGCGGUAAUACGUAAGGGUCCGAGCGUUGUCCGGAAUUAUUGGGCGUAAAGGGCUCGUAGGCGGUUUGUCGCGUCGGGAGUGAAAACAGCGGGCUUAACUCGUUGCUUGCUUUCGAUACGGGCAGACUAGAGGUAUGCAGGGGAGAAUGGAAUUCCUGGUGUAGCGGUGAAAUGCGCAGAUAUCAGGAGGAACACCGGUGGCGAAGGCGGUUCUCUGGGCAUUACCUGACGCUGAGGAGCGAAAGUGUGGGGAGCGAACAGGAUUAGAUACCCUGGUAGUCCGCACCGUAAACGUUGGGCGCUAGGUGUGGGUCCUUCACG